AUUGAACGCUGGCGGCAGGCCUAACACAUGCAAGUCGAGCGGAUGAAGGGAGCUUGCUCCUGGAUUCAGCGGCGGACGGGUGAGUAAUGCCUAGGAAUCUGCCUGGUAGUGGGGAUAACGUCCGGAAACGGGCGCUAAUACCGCAUACGUCCUGAGGGAGAAAGUGGGGGAUCUUCGGACCUCACGCUAUCAGAUGAGCCUAGGUCGGAUUAGCUAGUUGGUGGGGUAAAGGCCUACCAAGGCGACGAUCCGUAACUGGUCUGAGAGGAUGAUCAGUCACAAUGGAACUGAGACACGGUCCAGACGCCUACGGGAGGCAGCAGUGGGGAAUAUUGGACAAUGGGCGAAAGACUGAUCAAGCCAUGCCGCGUGUGGGAAGAAGGUCGUCGGAUUGUAAAGCACUUUAAGUUGGGAGGAAGGGCAGUAAGUUAAUACCUUGCUGGGUUGACGUUACCAACAGAAUAAGCACCGGCUAACUUCGUG
rnacentral:rRNA from 1 species